rnacentral:rRNA from 1 species
ACGAACGCUGGCGGCAUGCCUAACACAUGCAAGUCGAACGAGACCUUCGGGUCUAGUGGCGCACGGGUGCGUAACGCGUGGGAACCUGCCCUUAGGUUCGGAAUAACUCCCCGAAAGGGGUGCUAAUACCGGAUAAUGUCUUCGGACCAAAGAUUUAUCGCCUUUGGAUGGGCCCGCGUUGGAUUAGCUAGUUGGUAGGGUAAAAGCCUACUAAGGCGACGAUCCAUAGCUGGUCUGAGAGGAUGAUCAGCCACACUGGGACUGAGACACGGCCCAGACUCCUACGGGAGGCAGCAGUGGGGAAUAUUGGACAAUGGGCGAAAGCCUGAUCCAGCAAUGCCGCGUGAGUGAUGAAGGCCUUAGGGUUGUAAAGCUCUUUUACCCGGGAUGAUAAUGACAGUACCGGAAGAAUAAGCUCCGGCUAACUCCGUG